GGGGGGGGGGGGGGGGGGGGGGGGGGGGGGGGGGGGGGGGGGGGAGGGGCGGCGUGCGGGGUACGCGGGUGGCGGACGGGUGGGUAGCGCGUGGGUGAUCUGCCCUGCACUUCGGGGUAAGCGUGGGAAACUGGGGCUAAUACCGGAUAGGAACCAUCUGUCGUGGGUUGGGUGGACAGUUUUUUCGGUGUAGGAUGAGCUCGCGGCCUAUCAGCUUGUUGUUGUGGUAAUGGCCUACCAAGGCGGCGACGGGUAGCCGGCCUGAGAGGGUGUACGGCCACAUUGGGACUGAGAUACGGCCCAGACUCCUACGGGAGGCAGCAGUGGGGAAUAUUGCACAAUGGGCGCAAGCCUGAUGCAGCGACGCCGCGUGGGGGAUGAAGGCCUUCGGGUUGUAAACUCCUUUCGCUAGGGACGAAGCUUUGUUGUGACGGUACCUAGAUAAGAAGCACCGGCUAACUACGUG
rnacentral:rRNA from 1 species